rnacentral:rRNA from 1 species
UUUCUGCCCUAUCAACUAGUUGGUAAAGUAUUGGCUUACCAAGGUGAUAACGGGUAACGGGGAAUCAGGGUUCGAUUCCGGAGAGGGAGCCUGAGAAACGGCUACCACAUCCAAGGAAGGCAGCAGGCGCGCAAAUUACCCAAUCCAGACACUGGGAGGUGGUGACGAGAAAUACCAGGUCGUUCCCAAAAGGAUGCGACACUGGAAUGAACACAAUAUAAGACAUUUGUCGAGUAACAACUGGAGGGCAAGUCUGGUGCCAGCAGCCGCGGUAAUUCCAGCUCCAGUAGUGUAUCCUAAAGUUGCUGCGGUUAAAACGCUCGUAGUUGGAUUACGGGGCGGUUCUCUGCGGUCUGCUCAUCGAAAAGGUUGCAUCGGAGUGGUUGGGGUAACACCUGAUGUAUUUCGGUGUAGCUGAUGAGUGGACUCUGUCAUGGGGACCGCCACUUGUAUCGUGAGGAUGGUGGUUGGCCUUUACUGUGCUGCCCACUGUGUCUCGCGGAGUGUGCCUUGAAUAAAUCAGAGUGCUCAAAGCAGGCGAAUUGCUUGAAUGUUAAUAGCAUGGAACGAACAGUCGUGAUAUGUGCCGCGUACUAGAUCCACAUUGGGCUUGCUCAGUGUGACUGUGCGUGGUGCUGCACCAACCACGAUGCGGACGUUGGUUUCCGUGAUCGGGUGAUGAUUAAGAGGGACAAUUGGGGGCAUUGGUAUUUGGCCGCGAGAGGUGAAAUUCUUGGACCGGCCAAGGACCGACAAAUGCGAAAGCAUUUGCCAAGAUUGUUCCCAUUAAUCAAGAACGAAAGUGAGAGGUUCGAAGACGAUCAGAUACCGUCCUAGUUCUCACCGUAAACUAUGCCAACCCGGGAUCAGUUGCGAUUGACAUAAUAAGAUCCAUGUUGGUCCCCCAGCGAAACC